rnacentral:rRNA from 1 species
AGCGGCGGACGGGUGAGUAACACGUGGGUAACCUGCCCAAGAGACUGGGAUAACACCUGGAAACAGAUGCUAAUACCGGAUAACAACACUAGACGCAUGUCUAGAGUUUGAAAGAUGGUUCUGCUAUCACUCUUGGAUGGACCUGCGGUGCAUUAGCUAGUUGGUAAGGUAACGGCUUACCAAGGCAAUGAUGCAUAGCCGAGUUGAGAGACUGAUCGGCCACAUUGGGACUGAGACACGGCCCAAACUCCUACGGGAGGCAGCAGUAGGGAAUCUUCCACAAUGGACGAAAGUCUGAUGGAGCAACGCCGCGUGAGUGAAGAAGGGUUUCGGCUCGUAAAGCUCUGUUGGUAGUGAAGAAAGAUAGAGGUAGUAACUGGCCUUUAUUUGACGGUAAUUACUUAGAAAGUCACGGCUAACUACGUGCCAGCAGCCGCGGUAAUACGUAGGUGGCAAGCGUUGUCCGGAUUUAUUGGGCGUAAAGCGAGUGCAGGCGGUUCAAUAAGUCUGAUGUGAAAGCCUUCGGCUCAACCGGAGAAUUGCAUCAGAAACUGUUGAACUUGAGUGCAGAAGAGGAGAGUGGAACUCCAUGUGUAGCGGUGGAAUGCGUAGAUAUAUGGAAGAACACCAGUGGCGAAAGCGGCUCUCUGGUCUGCAACUGACGCCGAGGCUCGAAAGCAUGGGUAGCGAACAGGAUUAGAUACCCUGGUAGUCCAUGCCGUAAACGAUGAGUGCUAAGUGU